CGAUUUCUUUCUUCUCCGGUUGUUUUCUUCUCCGGUUUUCGACUCCUCCGCCUCUCCCUUAUCCAGUUAGUCUACUCCUCCUCAUCAUCUCUUCGUUUUCACGAUCGACUUCGUUUUCUUCUCUCCUACUCGUCGUGCUUCUAUCGGUUCUCAGCGGACUCGUUUCCCGUACCGACUCAGCUCAGCAACCUUUUCGCCGCGAGCCUGGUCAUGCUCACUGGCAUCACAGCACUUUCCUCGACGUACGAGAGAGAGUUCGAUCCGAUGUCCGCCGUAUGCUUCACUCUCGUGCCGAGGUAAUAUCUCAUCCUUUAAAAGUGUCUAGCUCUUGGUAAUUUCGUUGAUUAAUUCGGCUUUCUAGAUGGCCUUGUUAGCCUUUAAUCGGUGGCUCCUAAGCUCUCUAAACAUACACAGAGGAUCUCUCCGGUUCUUUGUUUGCCAACUUCUCUCGUCCAAAGCGUGGGUGGGGAAUCACAGGUGGUUAUGUAAUAUGAUUCACGAGUAUCAUCAAGCCAAUUACAGGACAAGGUGAUCUUGUUUGCGCAUUGCCAAACAGUUGAGCAGGACGACAUGAUUGACACGGCAGGAUAAAGAGCCGUUUAGAACCAGCUGUAGCUACAACACAUAGUCAUCUGAGUGAAUUUGGAGCAUCGUCUCCUUCCCCUUUUCUGAAAUCAAACCAGAACAGAUGUUUCCGCACUUUCAGAGGAGUGAGGACUGAUCUGCGCUUUGGUUUUAA